rnacentral:rRNA from 1 species
UCCUGCCGGAGGCGACCGCUAUUGGAAUUCGAUUAAGCCAUGCGAGUCGAGAGUCUUAGGGACUCGGCGUACCGCUCAGUAACACGUGGGUAACCUGCCCUGUGCUGGGGAAUAACCUCGGGAAACUGAGAAUAAUGCCCCAUAGUUCACCACGCCUGGAACGGUGGGUGGAUCAAAGCUCCGGCGGCACAGGAUGGGCCUGCGGCGUAUCAGGUCGUAGGGGGUGUAACGUACCCUCUAGCCUUCAACGCGUACGGGUUGUGGGAGCAAUCGCCCGGAGAUGGAUUCUGAGACACGAAUCCAGACCCUACGGGGUGCAGCAGGCGCGAAAACUUCACACUGCAGGAAACUGUGAUGAGGGAAUUCCAAGUGGCUAGACAAAGUCUAGUCUUUUUGUAACUUUUAAUCGGUUACAGAAUAAGGGGUGGGAAAGACCGGUGCCAGCCGCCGCGGUAAUACCGGCACCUCAAGUGGUCGUCGCUUUUAUUGGGCCUAAAACGUCCGUCGCCUGUUUGGUACAUUCGUGGGUAAAUCAAGCCGCUCAACGGCUUGAAUUCUGCGAGGACGGCCAGACUAGGGACCGGGAGAGGUAUGGGGUACUCUCAGGGUAGGGGUAAAAUCCAGUCAUCCUGAGGGGACCACCUGUUGCGAAGGCGCCAUACUAGAACGGAUCCGACGGUCAGGGACGAAGCCUAGGGGCACGAACCGGAUUAGAUACCCGGGUAGUCCUAGGUGUAAACGCUGUGGACUUGGUGUUGGGGAUUCUACGAGUAUCUCCAGUGCCGGAGUGAAGAUGUUAAGUCCACUGCCUGGGG